GGAUUCCCCUAGUAACUGCGAGUGAAGCGGGAAAAGCUCAAAUUUAAAAUCUGGCGGUCUUUGGCCGUCCGAGUUGUAGUCUGGAGAAGUGCUUUUCCGCGCUGGACCGUGUAUAAGUCUCUUGGAACAGAGCGUCAUAGAGGGUGAGAAUCCCGUCUUUGACACGGACUACCAGUGCUUUGUGAUGCGCUCUCAAAGAGUCGAGUUGUUUGGGAAUGCAGCUCAAAAUGGGUGGUGAAUUCCAUCUAAAGCUAAAUAUUGGCGAGAGACCGAUAGCGAACAAGUACCGUGAGGGAAAGAUGAAAAGCACUUUGGAAAGAGAGUUAAACAGUACGUGAAAUUGCUGAAAGGGAAACGCUUGAAGUCAGUCGCGUCUGCCGGAACUCAGCCUUCCUCUUGGUUGGUGCACUUUCCGGUAGACGGGUCAGCAUCGAUUUUGACCGUCGGAAAAGGGCUGGGGAAAUGUGGCACCCUUCGGGGUGUGUUAUAGUCCUCAGUCGCAUACGGCGGUCGGGAUCGAGGAACGCAGCGCGCCGCAAGGCAGGGGUUCGCCCACUUACGCGCUUAGGAUGCUGGCAUAAUGGCUUUAAACGACCCGUCUUGAAACACGGACCAAGGAGUCUAACAAACCUGCGAGUGUUUGGGUGGAAAACCCGAGCGCGUAAUGAAAGUGAAAG
rnacentral:rRNA from 1 species